rnacentral:tRNA from 1 species
UAGAAUAUAGUUUAAUAAGAAUUGAAGCUUUGGGAGUUUCAGGUGCCUUCUUGGGUUAUUCUAA